CCUACGGGAGGCAGCAGUGGGGGAUAUUGCACAAUGGGGGAAACCCUGAUGCAGCGACGCCGCGUGGGCGAAGAAGUAUUUCGGUAUGUAAAGCCCUAUCAGCAGGGAAGAAGAAAUGACGGUACCUGACUAAGAAGCCCCGGCUAACUACGUGCCAGCAGCCGCGGUAAUACGUAGGGGGCGAGCGUUAUCCGGAUUCACUGGGUGUAAAGGGAGCGUAGACGGCCAUGCAAGCCAGGGGUGAAAGCCCGGGGGCCAACCCCGGGACUGCCCUUGGAACUGCAUGGCUGGAGUGCGGGAGGGGCAGGCGGAAUGCGUGGUGUAGCGGUGAAAUGCGUAGAUAUCAGGAGGAACACCGGCGGCGAAGGCGGCCUGCUGGACUGCGACUGACGUUGAGGCUCGAAAGCGUGGGGAGCGAACAGGAUUAGAUACCCGGGUAGUC
rnacentral:rRNA from 1 species